AAGUCCUCUGUGAAGUUAACUAGUGGAGUCAGACAGGAAAAUACUACAGACCAAGAAUUCUCAGACUGUUCUGCAAAGCCCCUGGAUUCACUGAAAAAAGAACAAGUUUGGUCCAGCAGGAUUCAUGGCAAGUGUUGGUGAGGGAGAUAACAGUAAUUCAAGUGGAAGUUCUCAAUGGGACUCGCCUUCAGUACAAAGAAGAUUAACAGUCCUCAGAGACACUGUUCAGAAGAUUCUCUUUUAAGAUAAUAAAACUGAGAGCCCAAGACAAGUCUGUGUAUUACUGUGAGGGA